rnacentral:lncRNA from 12 species
ACCUUGCGUCAGCCACGACAGCCGGAGUGUGGGGCCAGAGGGGAGCAGCGGCUGGCGAGCGGGCCCCGGCGCGGGACACCCCGGAGCAGCACCCCGGGUCCCAGGGCGCCCGGCCCCCGACGGCGCAGCAUCACCAGCCGCCCCCAGAAGCUGGGGGGCUGCAGCCGAAGCCCCGAUGAGCCCCCCGUGGUCGCUCAGCGCGCUGUAAUCAGGCCCGUGUGUGACUUGCUAAGGGGGAGCAGCCUCCCAUUUUCGAGAGUAAUUAGGUCUCCUGGUGUGUCUGGGCCCCACAUCCCCCGGGGUGGGUCCCCGCCCCGCUCUCCCCUCUCCCACCCACCCACCCAUGCGUGGAGGCAGGCCAGUCCGCAGCCCUGGCCCGGGAAACCACCCUCCGGCCUGCCCCAGGGCCCGGGCCCCGACGCGACAGCCACACCUGCAGGGACGCGAGGCCCGGCCUCCCCUCCAUGCUGCCUCCGCAAGCCCGGCCUGGGACGAGUUCAGGGCUCUCCCUCACCGCCUCCCGGGCUGCGCAGCGCCAGGGCCCUGCCGGGGACACCGAGGCAGCCUAGCAGCAAAGCAAGGGCCCGGGCCCGAAGGCAGGCCUGGUUCACCGCCCCCAGGGCUUGGGCCCCCCCCCCGGGCUCGGCCCCCCCAGGCUCGGCUGCCUCAUCUGCGGCCCGGGGGGCCAGCCGACCCCGAGCUGUCGGCGGGUCAGGGGAGGGAGGAGGCUCGGUCACGCCUCGCGGACAGGCACUCGUGGCAGAAGCUGUCGGCAUCUCCCCCGGUGGAGACAUUCCUGCUGCUGGGGGGGCACGGGGGCCAUUCAGCUGCUGCGUGCCACCAAGAACGAAGGACGGGGUGGCCGCAGCUGGAGCCCCUGUUCAGCCGGUGCCGGGGGGGGGUUUGGAAGGCUUGUCCAGUGAGGGAGCUGGGCCUCCGACCCUGGCCCGGCGGUCUCCCAACACCCGACAGUCUGCGCGGUUCGGGGUCACGGCCCCGAGCCCCAGCAGCUACGUCAGGAGGUCGGUCUCAGCUCGGGCUUUGGGGAAAUUCGCCCUAAACCAGGGACCUGCUGUCUCCGGGAGUAAUGAGCUCCCCAUCACUGCGGGGCUCCAAGGCUCAGCUCCCCUCCCUCCUGCGGCCUCCCCAGGCCUGAGCCAAGCCCCGUCCCUGGCCCUCGCCCCCAGGGAGCUGGCCCCCUCCCCGCUCCUGAAGCUGCCCCCACAGACCAGUGCCCCCGGUACCCGCACCCCCCACCCCGUUCCCCGUCCUGGUCUGAGGACCCUCGAGCCUUGUGCUCCAACCACCCCCGGCGCCGCAGGAGCACAGCCGAGCCCGAAGCUGGGUCUCGGGGCUCCUGAAGCGAGGCCCGGAGACGCCCGGGGGGCAUGUUGGCCCCGUCAAGACACUAGCGGGCUCCCCCGGCCUGUCCCCUCCCGGGGGGCGCUCUCUCCCAAAGGGGGCGGGAGGGGGAGGCUCAUGUGGCUGCGCUCCGAGCGCUACCGCGUGCGCUUACGGACCCUCUUACAUAAGGAGGUAUUUUUUCCCCUCCUUAUUUUAGCUCCUGGUGCCAUCUGCCCUGCUCGUCGUGCGCCGCCAGCUCCGCGCUGGAGGUUAGAUCUGGCUCGGCCCCCCCAGUCCUAUCCCGCACUCGGCCAGAGACUUGGGGGAAUGUCUCCUUAUGCGUAA